GCGCCCGUAGCUCAAUUGGCAGAGCAUCCGGCUCAUAACCGGCAGGUUUGGAGGUUCGAGACCUCCCGGGCGCACCA
rnacentral:tRNA from 1 species